GCCGCGUGAGUGAAGAAGGCCUUCGGGUUGUAAAGCUCUUUUGUCAGGGAAGAAAAGGGAUUGGCUAAUAUCUGGUCCUCAUGACGGUACCUGAAGAAUAAGCACCGGCUAACUACGUGCCAGCAGCCGCGGUAAUACGUAGGGUGCAAGCGUUAAUCGGAAUUACUGGGCGUAAAGCGUGCGCAGGCGGUUUUGUAAGACUGUCGUGAAAUCCCCGGGCUCAACCUGGGAAUGGCGAUGGUGACUGCAAGGCUAGAGUUUGGCAGAGGGGGGUAGAAUUCCACGUGUAGCAGUGAAAUGCGUAGAUAUGUGGAGGAACACCGAUGGCGAAGGCAGCCCCCUGGGUCAAAACUGACGCUCAUGCACGAAAGCGUGGGGAGCAAACAGGAUUAGAUACCCUGGUAGUCCACGCCCUAAACGAUGUCUACUAGUUGUCGGGUCUUAAUUGACUUGGUAACGCAGCUAACGCGUGAAGUAGACCGCCUGGGGAGUACGGUCGCAAGAUUAAAACUCAAAGGAAUUGACGGGGACCCGCACAAGCGGUGGAUGAUGUGGAUUAAUUCGAUGCAACGCGAAAAACCUUACCUACCCUUGACAUGGAUGGAAUCUUCGAGAGAUUG
rnacentral:rRNA from 1 species